rnacentral:rRNA from 1 species
CGGUGGAUCACUUGGCUUGUGGACCGAUGAAGGACGCAGCAAAGUGCGUUAAUUAAUGCAAACUGCAGGACACUCGAGCAUUAAAAUUCUGAAUGCAUAUUGCAGAUUGUUAACAUUUUAUAAUUAACAAUCUAUAUCUGACUGAGGG